GCUGACGAAGCUCAGAGGCAGAGCACCGCUGUGGUAAGGCGGAGGCCACGGGUUCGAGUCCCGUCGUCAGCU
rnacentral:tRNA from 1 species